rnacentral:rRNA from 1 species
CAGCACCUCAAGUGGUCAGGAUGAUUAUUGGGCCUAAAGCAUCCGUAGCCUGCUUUGUAAGUUUUCGGUUAAAUCCAUACGCUUAACGUAUGGGCUGCCGGGAAUACUGCAAAGCUAGGGAGUGGGAGAGGUAGACGGUACUCGGUAGGAAGGGGUAAAAUCCUUUGAUCUAUUGAUGACCACCUGUGGCGAAGGCGGUCUACCAGAACACGUCCGACGGUGAGGGAUGAAAGCUGGGGGAGCAAACCGGAUUAGAGACCCGAGUAGUCC